rnacentral:rRNA from 1 species
UACGAAGGGUGCUAGCGUUGUUCGGAAUUAUUGGGCGUAAAGCGUAUGUAGGUGGUUUUGUAAGUCGGUUGUGAAAGCCCUGGGCUUAACCCAGGAAUUGCAAUCGAAACUGCAUUACUUGAGUUUGGUAGGGGAUAGUGGAAUUCCUAGUGUAGGGGUGAAAUCCGUAGAUAUUAGGAGGAAUAUCAAUGGCGAAGGCAACUAUCUGGGCCAAUACUGACGCUGAGAUACGAAAGCGUGGGGAGCAAACAGG